rnacentral:rRNA from 1 species
UACGGAGGAUGCGAGCGUUAUCCGGAUUUAUUGGGUUUAAAGGGAGCGUAGACGGCGGUGCAAGCCAGAUGUGAAAGCCCGGGGCUCAACCCCGGGACUGCAUUUGGAACUGUGCUGCUAGAGUGUCGGAGAGGCAGGCGGAAUUCCUAGUGUAGCGGUGAAAUGCGUAGAUAUUAGGAGGAACACCAGUGGCGAAGGCGGCCUGCUGGACGAUGACUGACGUUGAGGCUCGAAAGCGUGGGGAGCAAACAGG